rnacentral:lncRNA from 1 species
UUUUUUUUUUUUUUUUUUUUUUUUACAAGUUGGAAGUUUGCGGCAACCCUGCGUAAAGUCUUUUGGUGACAUGUUUCCAACAGCAUUUGCUCAUGUUGUGUCUCUAUGUUACCUCUUGGUAGUUCUUGCAAUAUUUCAAACUUUUUCAUUAGUACUAUAUUUGUUAUUGCUGAAGAGCCAGAUGAUGGUUAGCACUUUUUGGCAAUAAAGUAUUUUUCAAUUAAAGUUUGUACGUUUUUAAAGACAUAAUGCUAUUAUUGCACACUGAUAGAUUACAGUAUAGUGGAAAUAUAACUUUUAUAUAUGUUGGGAAACCAAAAAAUUUGUGACUUUAUCAUGAUAGUUGAUUUAUUGCCGCAAUAACUCCAAGGUCUGCCUCUAUAACAGGAAGAAUUAGACAAACCUGGGUUGAAAUGCUGGCUCUACUUAAAACUGUGUUACCUUGGAUAAGUGUUCAUAUCUGUAAAAUACAGUUAACAAUAAUGAUUUUAUAGUGUUGUUUUAGAUCAUUAAAUACAGUACUGUUUUUAAAGGUGUUAACAUAGUACCUGAUUUGUCAUAUUCAAUAAAUGUUUAAUUGAAAAUAUGGCUUUUGAAAUCAGAUACUUUUUUUUUGAAGAACAAAUAGAAAACCCAAUAGUUCAAACAUACACAUAUUAAAUGAUACCUGCUUCUCAAUUAAAACAGUGAUAUUUCAGAGUGAUUUCUACUCAAACUGCCAUUCACAGAUAGCGCUUUUUUUGUUGUUGUUACUUUUUUUUGGCACGUUUGGUGAGAACACUGAGGAUCUACUCUCUUAGCAAAUUUUGAGUAUAUGAUACAGUAUUAUUAACUAUAGCCAUCUUGCUAUACAUUCAAUUCCUAGAACAUAUACAUGUUAUAUGAAACUGAAAAUUUGUUCUCUUUGACCAGUUUCUCGAACAGUUAAAGCAAGAUGCACAUUCUGGUUGAGAGCUGUAUAAAUAAGAGAUAUUUAAGAGUUCCUGUUGUGGCUCAGUGGUUAACGAACCCAAAUAGUAUCCAUGAGGACGUGGGUUCGAUUCUUGGCCUCGCUCAGUGGGUUAAGGAUCCGGCGUUGCUGUGAGCUGUGGUGUAGGUUGCAGAUGCGGCUCGGAUCCUGCAUUGCUGUGGUUCUGGCGUAGGCCGGCAGCCACAGCUCCGAUUGGACUCCUAGCCUAGGAACCUCCAUAUGCUGUGGAUGUGGCUCUAAAAGGACAAAAAAAGAGAUAUUUAUUAUGUUUACAAAAAAUGCAUUGUUUUUCCCACUUUAGGAGUGCUACAUGAUUAUUACAGACUCAUUGGAGCAGGUAGAGCAUAUGAGGUAAAAAUAGAGUCAAAGAUAACCAGAUAACCACUAUAAUUUGUAUAUGUUUCCUUCUAAAAUUUUACAGUAUGUGCUUAAAAUUUUUUUAUUCUGAAAAAUGGAAACACAUUUGUUACAUAUUUAAUUAAUGCAUAUUAAUGCUUUUGAAAAGACAGUUUUUCAUAACUUAGAACAUUUGGCUUAACUGAAAAGAAACAUUUAAGGAAUACCUGCUAUGGUGCAGUGGGUUAAGAAUUUGACUCAUUUCACUCAGUAUGAGAUUCUCUAGUUCCAUCCAUGUUGCUGCAAAUGGCAUUAUGUCAUUCUUUUUUAUGGCUGAGUAGUAUUCCAUUGUGUAUAUAUACCACAUCUUCCCCUUGCUGUACAGUGGGAAAAUUAAAAAAAAAAAAAGAAUUUGGCUGUAGCAGCUCAGGUUGCUGCAAAGGUGCAGAUUCGACCCUGGCCUGGCACAGUAGGUUAAAGGAUCUGGCAUUGCUGUAGCUGUGAUUCGGAUUCAAUCCCUGGUCCAGGAACUUCCAUAUGCCAUGGGUAUGGACAUAAAAUGUAAAAAAAAAUUUUUUUAAUUAAAAAAUAAAAAAAUUAAAUAAUCUGACCUUAGAUUUAGGUUUCAAUAAAAUUAGAAUCAUAUUUUAUAAUAUGACCAAUUCUUCAAAAAUUGCUCUUGUGUAACACCAGACUGAAAUAAUGUUUCAAGAUAAAAUUUAAUUAACUGUGCUUUUAUUGUAAAAACUAUAAAGCACUAUAUAAUAAACAUUUUAAUUUAUAUCAUUUUCUUCUAAAAAACUUUAAAAUGCUACACAUAUAAAUGAUGCACUAACUGAGAGAAAUUAUCAUCCUUUCCAUUGUUUUGAAGUGCUUAUUUCUAGCCCAUGCAAGUGUGUCAGCAUGUUUUCAAUCUAAUGUACCAAGGUCAAAUGCACUCUAGAGAUAUUUCUUAAUGGAAUUUUCAGGCAAGUCAAUGCUGUUGUACAGUAGACUAAACAAUUUGAUGACCAGUACAGUUAGAAUAUGUAUUAUGUAAUUUCAGAGAACUUUAGAAAUGUAGGGGAUAGUUUUAAAUGACAAACAGUAGCUUCGGUCGUCCUUUCUGAAGAAAGAUGGAAAAUAUAAUUUUGCUGACUUCUUUGCAGUUAGACAAAGUGCAGAUGAAUUGUGAGUAUAAAUUUAAUUCUUCCAGCUAUUACUUCAGUAGGCUAAAAGCAUGUACAAAAACCAAUCAAAUGGAAGGUAAGGAAAACCAGAUAGAGUGACUGGACGAACUUGGCUGUUACUAAUUUGUUAACAAUUGUUCACGCAAUGAUGCUAUUAAAUGAUGUUAUGAAAGGCAAAUAAGGUCUCCACCCAUUAACUAACUUAUGAAUAUGACAUUAACUUAAGACUUUGUUAUUAAAUCUAUAUUCAAGCAGAUUAAGCUAUGAACUAUAUUUUAAAUAACACCAUAUUUUAAAUAACGUUGCCCUAAUCCAUUUUAAUGUUAUGGAAAGAAUACUCUAAUACUUAGCAAAAUGAAAUUUGAUGUUAAAUACAGUUAUCAUUCGAUCCUGGAAAUAAUUUGCCUUCUUAUAUUUAUCAUGUUUAUGGUGUUUCUCUCAUAUUUCUCCACUUUUUUUUUGUCCAGUGCUUCUCUCCAUAUAUUAUUUUUUAAUUCCUCUUGCUUCCUUAGCACAUUAAUGGUGGUUUUAAAAAAAAUCCUCUCUCUGUAUUCCCAAAGUUUUCUACCUUCAGUAUUUUUAGCUUUUUUUUUUUUUUUUUACUGUAUUUACUAACUAUAUACAGGCAAUAACCAAAUGUUGGUCUCUUACCCUCAAUCCUUUCCAGUGCAGUAGCCAUUAGGGGAGCUAUUGAAAACCUGAAAAGUGGCUUAUGCAAUUGGGAAACUGAAACUUUAUUUAAUUUUAAUUAACAUUCAAUUUGAAUGGGUACGUAACGCUGGUAGCUAUUGUAUGGAACAGCACAAUUAUAGAUUGCUUUUUGUAGUCUGAGUUGGCCUCAGAAGUUGCCAGAUAAAGACCUUUGGAUUUGUCUUAAACCCAGGAAACUGUGCAUAUCACUCUGCCACCUAAAGACUUUCAGUGCCUCCUCCUGUGUUACUACUUAGUCCAAAUUUCAAAGGCUCACAUAUAAGGUCCGCUUUAAUCUCAUUCUAUCACACUUUUCCAUUCAAGUUUUCAUUAAUCUCAUCUUUCUAUGCUCUAAUCCAUCCAAACUUAAGUAUCUUUGUACUGAGUCCAUAAUUUAUGCUUUCUCCAUGCUCAUAAUUUGACUCAGAGUAUUUUCUUCCUUGCCCAAAAUGAGUGCCCAAAUCAUUUUAAUUGUUUUUGUUUUUUUAAAUGAAUAUCAAUGGUAUUGGAAUGUAAUAGAAAACAUUUUGGAAAAUUAUGUAUAAUAAAGCCAUUUCUCGACAAGUUAUUUCAGGGGACCAGAGUCUGCUUAUUUCAGAAGCCCCUGGAUGCCUUA